CUUAAAAGUGGUGGUGUUGGUGCUGGCAGUGACCUGGAAUGGAUUAUGGACAAGUUUCUCAAAACAUCAGCAAACAAACUAUGCGAGCCGGAGGCUACAAGUCCUAAGCGUCAAGAGGAAGCUUCAAGUCCUAAGCGUCGAGGGGAAGCUACGAGUCUUAAGCGUCGAAGGGAAACAUCCGUCGCGUGGGAGGACUUUAAAAAAUCGAAAGGCAAACCAGAAGCAACAUGCAAAAUAUGCGGUAAGCGGUACAAAACUGCAGGAAAUACAUCAAAUCUGAUCGACCACCUUAAACGUUCACAUCCCGGCUAUCACAAGCCGAACGAUAAUGCUGCGCAGGCAUCCCUUUCCACUUUUUUCGAAAAAGAAAAUUUGUAUUCCAAUGAUUCUGUAAGGAAAGUAGGGAUUGACAAAAGGGUUAUGCUCAUGAUACCAAUAAUUGCCGAGUUGUAUCAAAAAAUGAAUUUAAUAAAGUGCUCUUCGAAAGCGGCUCAGGAUGCUCAUGACUUGAUCAAAAUUCAUAUCAAAGAACGAUUUUAUCAUUAUGAAUCACGAACUGUCCCUAGAAUUGCGACACUGCUAGAUCCACGCUUCAAAAAUGGAAGGCUUUUUUCUACCAUCGAAUGCUGAAAAAGCUGCUAAGGCUUUGGAGUUGAAGCUCUACGAAAUAUUGUCUAUGAAUUCGAAUGCUAGUUCCACAGCUCCAGCACCACCACAACCAAGCUUUUAUCCUUACCUGCAAGGUAAACUGUCUAAUAAAGUUACAUCAAACAGGGCACACUCAAUAAUACUAAUGCGGCAGUACUUUGAGCAAAAAAACGAUGAUGAAAGCAAGGACCCUUUACUACACUGGAAGAUGACCAAUGAUGAUUUUCAAGCCUUCAAGGCCCUCGCUAAAGAAUAUCUGUGCGUCCCAGCAUCCUCCUGUGCCUCCGAAAGGACUUUUAGUAAGGCAGGACAAAUAAUUUCAGACCGUCG